rnacentral:rRNA from 1 species
UACGUAGGGCGCAAGCGUUGUCCGGAAUUAUUGGGCGUAAAGAGCUUGUAGGCGGUUUGUCGCGUCUGCUGUGAAAGCCCGGGGCUUAACUCCGGGUCUGCAGUGGGUACGGGCAGGCUAGAGUGUGGUAGGGGAGACUGGAAUUCCUGGUGUAGCGGUGAAAUGCGCAGAUAUCAGGAGGAACACCGAUGGCGAAGGCAGGUCUCUGGGCUGUAACUGACGCUGAGGCGCGAAAGCGUGGGGAGCAAACAGG